UACAAUGGAGAGUUUGAUCCUGGCUCAGGAUGAACGCUAGCGGCAGGCCUAACACAUGCAAGUCGAGGGGUAACAGAAAAGCUUGCUUUUGCUGACGACCGGCGCACGGGUGCGUAACGCGUAUGCAACCUACCUCAUACUGGAGGAUAGCCCCUGGAAACGGGGAUUAAUACUCCAUAGUAUCACAAUUUCGCAUGUUAUUGUGAUUAAAGUUUUUCGGUAUGAGAUGGGCAUGCGUCCCAUUAGCUUGUUGGUGAGGUAACGGCUCACCAAGGCAACGAUGGGUAGGGGGCCUGAGAGGGUGGUCCCCCACACUGGUACUGAGACACGGACCAGACUCCUACGGGAGGCAGCAGUGAGGAAUAUUGGUCAAUGGAGGAAACUCUGAACCAGCCAUGCCGCGUGAAGGAUGACGGCCCUAUGGGUUGUAAACUUCUUUUAUAGAGGAAGAAACUUGUCUACGUGUAGACAACUGACGGUACUCUACGAAUAAGGAUCGGCUAACUCCGUGCCAGCAGCCGCGGUAAUACGGAGGAUCCAAGCGUUAUCCGGAUUCAUUGGGUUUAAAGGGUCCGUAGGCGGAUUUUUAAGUCAGUGGUGAAAGCCGACAGCUCAACUGUCGAACUGCCAUUGAUACUGGAAAUCUUGAGUACAAAUGAAGUAGGCGGAAUGAGUCAUGUAGCGGUGAAAUGCAUAGAUAUGACUCAGAACACCGAUUGCGAAGGCAGCUUACUAACAUGUAACUGACGCUGAGGGACGAAAGCGUGGGGAGCGAACAGGAUUAGAUACCCUGGUAGUCCACGCCGUAAACGAUG
rnacentral:rRNA from 1 species